GCACGUCAGGCGUGGCAGAUUCUGCAAGAACCGUUCUCUUUGAGUGCACGUAUUUUAAAGGCUUCCUACUUCCCGGAUACUUCGUUCCUUCAUGCGGAACUGGGCACUCGUCCAUCCCAGAUUUGGUGGGUGAUUCUGGAAGGAAGAUAUAUUAUGAAACAAGGAAUUAUAAGGCGUAUUGGCAAUGGCCAGACAACUCAUAUCUGGGAUGACAAUUGGAUCCCGAAGGAGGCUUCACUUCGCCCUAUAGUCUCACUAGUUUUUGACCCACCUACUUUGGUGUCAGAACUCUUGCUGCCAGCUAUGGUGACAUGGAAUAAACCUCUGAUCCGAGCUACCUUACUUCCAAUCGAUGUUGAGUCUAUUCUGAAGCUUCCGGUAUGCACAAGAAAUGUCAACGACUUCUGGGCUUGGCACCCGGAUAGUAAGGGCCGUUUCACUGUUAGCUCAGCAUAUAAGUUCUUGAUAACAACAAAAAUCCAGAUGGAGAACUGGUUGGAGGGUCGAAGUGGCUCAUCCAGUAGGGAGCGGGAAGAAAAAUCUUGGACCUCAAUAUGGAAUUUGACAGUCCCUUCGAAGGUCAAAGUGUUCAUUUGGAGGCUAGCAUGUCAUUCCCUGCCAACCACUGAUCUUCUUAAGCGCCGUAAUAUGUCGACCCGAGAUGCUUGUCCACUUUGUGGCUACGAUGAUUCAUGGCGCCAUGCUUUAUUAUCUUGCACUAUGGCGAGGUGUACCUGGGCGCUCACUGAUGUCUGCUAG
rnacentral:rRNA from 1 species